GAUGAACGCUGGCGGCGUGCCUAAUACAUGCAAGUCGAGCGAACGGACGAGAAGCUUGCUUCUCUGAUGUUAGCGGCGGACGGGUGAGUAACACGUGGAUAACCUACCUAUAAGACUGGGAUAACUGCGGGAAACCGGAGCAAAAACCGGAUAAUAUUUUGAACCGCAUGGUUCAAAAGUGAAAGACGGUCUUGCUGUCACUUAUAGAUGGAUCCGCGCUGCAUUAGCUAGUUGGUAAGGUAACGGCUUACCAAGGCAACGAUGCAUAGCCGACCUGAGAGGGUGAUCGGCCACACUGGAACUGAGACACGGUCCAGACUCCUACGGGAGGCAGCAGUAGGGAAUCUUCCGCAAUGGGCGAAAGCCUGACGGAGCAACGCCGCGUGAGUGAUGAAGGUCUUCGGAUCGUAAAACUCUGUUAUUAGGGAAGAACAUAUGUGUAAGUAACUGUGCACAUCUUGACGGUACCUAAUCAGAAAGCCACGGCUAACUACGUG
rnacentral:rRNA from 1 species